rnacentral:rRNA from 1 species
AAACUUUCAACAACGGAUCUCUUGGUUCUGGCAUCGAUGAAGAACGCAGCGAAAUGCGAUAAGUAAUGUGAAUUGCAGAAUUCAGUGAACCAUCGAAUCUUUGAACGCACAUUGCGCCCCUUGGUAUUCCGGGGGGCAUGCCUGUUCGAGCGUCAUUU